CAAUAGCGUAUAUUAAAGUUGUUGCGGUUAAAAAGCUCGUAGUUGGAUUUCUGCUGAGAACGACCGGUCCGCCCUUUGGGUGUGUAUCUGGCUCUUUCUUGGCAUCUUCUUGGUGAACGUUGCUGCACUUGACUGUGUGGAGCGCUACCCAGGACUUUUACUUUGAGGAAAUUAGAGUGUUUCAAGCAGGCAUACGCCUUGAAUACAUUAGCAUGGAAUAAUAAGAUAGGACCUCGGUUCUAUUUUGUUGGUUUCUAGAGCUGAGGUAAUGAUUAAUAGGGAUAGUUGGGGGCAUUCGUAUUUAACUUUCAGAGGUGAAAUUCUUGGAUUUGUUAAAGACGGACUACUGCGAAAGCAUUUGCCAAGGAUGUUUUCAUUGA
rnacentral:rRNA from 1 species